GAUGAACGCUGGCGGCGUGCCUAAUACAUGCAAGUCGAGCGAACGGACGAGAAGCUUGCUUCUCUGAUGUUAGCGGCGGACGGGUGAGUAACACGUGGAUAACCUACCUAUAAGACUGGGAUAACUUCGGGAAACCGGAGCUAAUACCGGAUAAUAUUUUGAACCGCAUGGUUCAAAAGUGAAAGACGGUCUUGCUGUCACUUAUAGAUGGAUCCGCGCUGCAUUAGCUAGUUGGUAAGGUAACGGCUUACCAAGGCAACGAUGCAUAGCCGACCUGAGAGGGUGAUCGACCACACUGGAACUGAGACACGGUCCAGACUCCUACGGGAGGCAGCAGUAGGGAAUCUUCCGCAAUGGGCGAAAGCCUGACGGAGCAACGCCGCGUGAGUGAUGAAGGUCUUCGGAUCGUAAAACUCUGUUAUUAGGGAAGAACAUAUGUGUAAGUAACUGUGCACAUCUUGACGGUACCUAAUCAGAAAGCCACGGCUAACUACGUGCCAGCAGCCGCGGUAAUACGUAGGUGGCAAGCGUUAUCCGGAAUUAUUGGGCGUAAAGCGCGCGUAGGCGGUUUUUUAAGUCUGAUGUGAAAGCCCACGGCUCAACCGUGGAGGGUCAUUGGAAACUGGAAAACUUGAGUGCAGAAGAGGAAAGUGGAAUUCCAUGUGUAGCGGUGAAAUGCGCAGAGAUAUGGAGGAACACCAGUGGCGAAGGCGACUUUCUGGUCUGUAACUGACGCUGAUGUGCGAAAGCGUGGGGAUCAAACAGGAUUAGAUACCCUGGUAGUCCACGCCGUAAACGAUGAGUGCUAAGUGUUAGGGGGUUUCCGCCCCUUAGUGCUGCAGCUAACGCAUUAAGCACUCCGCCUAGGGAGUACGACCGCAAGGUUGAAACUCAAAGGAAUUGACGGGGACCCGCACAAGCGGUGGAGCAUGUGGUUUAAUUCGAAGCAACGCGAAGAACCUUACCAAAUCUUGACAUCCUUUGACAACUCUAGAGAUAGAGCCUUCCCCUUCGGGGGACAAAGUGACAGGUGGUGCAUGGUUGUCGUCAGCUCGUGUCGUGAGAUGUUGGGUUAAGUCCCGCAACGAGCGCAACCCUUAAGCUUAGUUGCCAUCAUUAAGUUGGGCACUCUAAGCUGACUGCCGGUGACAAACCGGAGGAAGGUGGGGAUGACGUCAAAUCAUCAUGCCCCUUAUGAUUUGGGCUACACACGUGCUACAAUGGACAAUACAAAGGGCAGCGAAACCGCGAGGUCAAGCAAAUCCCAUAAAGUUGUUCUCAGUUCGGAUUGUAGUCUGCAACUCGACUACAUGAAGCUGGAAUCGCUAGUAAUCGUAGAUCAGCAUGCUACGGUGAAUACGUUCCCGGGUCU
rnacentral:rRNA from 1 species